AUUGAACGCUGGCGGAAUGCUUUACACAUGCAAGUCGAACGGCAGCACGGACUUCGGUCUGGUGGCGAGUGGCGAACGGGUGAGUAAUGUAUCGGAACGUGCCCAGUCGUGGGGGAUAACGUAGGGAAAAUUACGCUAAUACCGCAUACGAUCUAUGGAUGAAAGCGGGGGAUCGCAAGACCUCGCGCGAUUGGAGCGGCCGAUAUCAGAUUAGGUAGUUGGUGGGGUAAAGGCCCACCAAGCCAACGAUCUGUAGCUGAGCUGCGAGGACGACCAGCCACACUGGAACUGAGACACGGUGCAGACUCCUACGGGAGGCAGCAGUGGGGAAUUUUGGACAAUGGGCGAAAGCCUGAUCCAGCCAUUCCGCGUGCAGGAUGAAGGCCCUCGGGUUGUAAACUGCUUUUGUACAGAACGAAAAGGUUUCUACUAAUACUAGGAGCUCAUGACGGUACUGUAAGAAUAAGCACCGGCUAACUACGUGCCAGCCGCCGCAGUAA
rnacentral:rRNA from 1 species